rnacentral:rRNA from 1 species
GUAUAUUACUAUAAAAUAAUAAGAAUAAGGUGUAAAGGUGAGUAAUAUAAAUUAGAUACCUUAUAGACUCCUUAAUUAGGAGAUAAAAAUUUAUUUCUCUAAAAUUUUAUUUAUAAAAUAAAAAUAGAGAUACUAAUUUAAAUUAUAGAAAUAAAAAGGGUGGUAAUAAUUAUAUUACCUAGCAAGCCUUCUCUAAAACAAAUAAAUAUAUUUAUAUAUUUCCUUUAAAAUAUUAAUAAAAAUAAAGGUAGGGUUAUAUAUUUAAAAAUUAGGAAAGUAAAGAUAAAUUAGCUAUUUAUUAUAAAAAGGAAAUUUUCUACUAUAAGAUUUGAUUUAUUUUGUUUAAAGGUAGUUGGUAGGGUAAAUGCCUACCAAGCCGAUGAUCAAAAGCCAUGUUUGAUAGAGCAGAUGGCCACAUUGGGUAUGAAAAGCCCCAAGUAGAAUUAUCUACCAGCAGUCAAGAAUAUUAGUCAAUGCUCGCAAGAGUGAACUAGCUAACUGAAAUCACAGGAUCCACUACGUGUGGAGAAUGUUAUAACGUAAGGGAAAAAAAUGAUAUUACCUUACUAUUAGUGUUGUCCAAAACUGGUGCCAGAAGACUCGGUAAGGCCAGAGACGCAAACGUUAGUCGUCCUAAUCAGGCGUAAAGGGUAUGUAGGCUGCUUUAAAAGUUUAGUUUUAUAUUUUAAUAGCUCUGUUUAAAUUUUAUUUUGAAUUUUAACAGUAAAAUAUACAAUGAAUUAAAGCUAGGAUCAAAUUGAGGAUAAUUUAAAUAAUACUUAGUGGAGGGUUUACAUCUGUUGAUAUUAAGGGGAGUACUAACGGUGAAAGCUUUUUAUCUAGAAAUGAUUGACGCUGAGAAACGAAGGUGAGAAUAGGAAAUAGGAUUAGAUACCCAGAUACCUCUCACAGUCAACGAUGAAUGGUGGUUGUUAGUUAGUUUUAUUUAACUGAUAACGAUGUUAACACGAUAACCAUUCCGCCUUGCGAGUACGGUUGCAAAACUGAAACCAAAAAAAUUAGUCGGUCUCGAAGCAAACGAAGUGAAGCAUGUUAUUUAAUACGAUAAUACGCGUAAAAUCUUACCAGUCCUUGUAUAUCCAAUUUUUCUAAGUAAAAUUAGAGAGAUUGAGUAGUUUCUUAAAAAAAAAUUAAGAAAUUCGUUUA